GUUGAAACACCGGUGUCCGUACGAUCGCCAAAAUUAAGCAAUAUCGAGCCUGGUCAGUAUCUAAAUGGGUGACCGCUUGGGAAUACCAAGUGCUAUA